GACGGGUGAGUAAUACAUGGGUAAUGUACCCCGGGCACAGGGAUAGCGUCGGAAGCUUCGGCUUCCUUUGCGAAAGUGACGGUAAUACCUGAUGACACCCGCGGGAGGUAUCUCCUGCGGUUCAAAAGGUGGGGACCUUCGGGCCUACCGGCCUGGGAUCAGCCCAUGACCUAUCAGCUAGUUGGCAGGGUAAUGGCCUACCAAGGCAACGACGGGUAGCCGGUCUGAGAGGAUGGUCGGCCACAUCGGAACUGAGACACUGUCCGGACACCUACGGGUGGCUGCAGUAACGAAUCUUCCGCAAUGGGCGAAAGCCUGACGGAGCGACGCCGCGUGUAGGAGGAAGCCCUUCGGGGUGUAAACUACUUUUAGGGGCAUGAAACCAAGCGACCUAACACGUCGUACGUUGAUCUACCCCAGAAAAAGCCUCGGCUAACUCUGUGCCAGCAGCCGCGGUAAGACAGAGGAGGCUAGCGUUGUUCGGAAUCACUGGGCUUAAAGCGGGUGUAGGCGGCCCUGCAAGUACUUUGUGAAAUACUCCGGCUCACCCGGAGAACUGCUGAGUAUACUGCAGGGCUUGAGGCAGGUAGGGGUCACUGGAACGACGGGUGGAGCGGUGAAAUGCGUAGAUACCCGUUGGAACGCCGGAGGCGAAAGCGGGUCGCUGGGCCUGUCCUGACGCUGAUACGCGAAAGCGUGGGGUAGCGAACAGGAUUAGAUACCCUGGGUAGUCCACGCCGUAAACGAUGCGCACUAGGUAUGAGAAGCUCUCACGCUGAUCGUGCCGAAGCAAAGUGCUAAGUGCGCCGCCUGGGGAGUACGGCCGCAAGGCUAAAACUCAAAGGAAUUGACGGGGGCUCACACAAGCGGUG
rnacentral:rRNA from 1 species